AUUCUCAACUGAAAUCUAAUCAUUCAAACCCUGAAUGGAUUUGAUUCUGAGUACAAUCCUGUCGUGGUAAAACUCUCUGAUCAAAUCAAUCUAAGUUGGAUUGAUUUACAAUCCCAAUUUCUGAGUUUUGAGA